GGAUUUCAGCCGAGGAGGUGAGAUGAAAUAUGAAUGUCCACCAGGUCGGUCUAGCGCGGAAAAACCACACUUACCAAUCCUAGAUGGACGGAACUUAAAACCCCUGUUUCGGUAUAGCGCGGGAAAACCACACUGACCAAGACAGAGGUUUAUACUUAAAUAAAAACGGUUAGGUAUAGCGCGGAAAAACCACACUGACCCAAUUAAACUGUAUGCGAGUUUGAGGAGAGAUUACACAACCACACUGGAAAGCGGGCAGCUUCUGAAAAAAAAAACACAGAUAAGCAAAAAGAGACAAAGAAAAACAAAAUAACAAGAACACUCUGGUAAUUGGUCUAGCUUGUAAAAACAGUUAACCCGUCAGAUUAAGAACAUAUAGAAUAUAUAUCCGAAAAUCGAUUAAAAGUAAAAAAAUAAAAAGAUAAAAUAAGACAGUCACAAAAAUUUAUCUAUUUAACUAUUUGAAUUACUUCUGGUUUAAGGAAUGAAAGUAAUGACAAUGUGGAAGUGCCAAAGAGCACCGUUUUA
rnacentral:lncRNA from 1 species